AUUGAACGCUGGCGGCAGGCCUAACACAUGCAAGUAGAACGAGUGGCGGACGGGUGAGUAAUGUCUGGGAACCUGCCUGAUGGAGGGGGCUAACUACUGGAAACGGUAGCUAAUACCGCAUACCAUCAGAUGUGCCCGGAUGGGCUUAGCUAGUUGGUGGGGUAAAGGCUCACCAAGGCGACGACCCCUAGCUGGUCUGCGAGGAUGACCAUCCAAACUGGAAUUGAGACAAGGUCCAGACUCCUCCGGGAGGCAGCAGUGGGAAAUAUUGCACAAUGGGCGCAAGCGUGAUGCAGCCAUGCCGCGUGUAUGACGAAGGCCUUCGGGUUGUAAAGUACUUUCAGCGGGGAGGCGUUACCCGCAGAAGAAGCACCGGCUAACUCCGUGCCAGCCGCCGCGGUAAUUC
rnacentral:rRNA from 1 species